rnacentral:piRNA from 1 species
AAUAAAAGGACUCAAAUUUACACUG